AGAACGACUCUCGGCAACGGAUAUCUCGGCUCUUGCAUCGAUGAAGAACGUAGCGAAAUGCGAUACUUGGUGUGAAUUGCAGAAUCCCGUGAACCAUCGAGUCUUUGAACGCAAGUUGCGCCCGAAGCCAUCAGGCCUAGGGCACGUCUGCCUGGGCGUCACAC
rnacentral:rRNA from 1 species